rnacentral:rRNA from 1 species
UACGUAGGGUGCAAGCGUUGCCCGGAUUUAUUGGGCGUAAAGGGCGCGUAGGCGGCCACGCACGUCCGUUGUGAAAUCGCCCGGCUCAACUGGGCGGGUCAGCGGAUACGGUGUGGCUCGAGCAAGCUAGGGGCAAUGGAAUUCCCGGUGUAGUGGUGGAAUGCGUAGAUAUCGGGAGGAACACCAGUGGCGAAGGCGGUUGCCUGGAGCUUUGCUGACGCUGAGGCGCGAAAGCGUGGGGAGCGAGUCCGG